UGUCACACAGGCUUAGAACAUCCCCUUUAACAUGUAUUAGCCCAUACGUUGUCUGCAAAAAUGGGAACCUUUAAGCAACUCCUAUGAACAACGCCCAUCUCGGCCAUCCUCCAUGACUCAGGAAUCUGCUCCUGGAUGCUAGCAUGUAUUUUCCACUUCCUUUCCCUGCAGUGUAUAUAACAGAAACGAAUCUGAGUGCUGACACAAUUGCUUCCAGAGCACGACGUGGGUGCAGCCACCCCGACUGACACAACCUGCGCUAAAACCACGGAUGUACAACGCAACGGCGGGUGUGGGGUUAAAGUCGUCCUCACAGCUGGAUAUACCAGGUCUUCAUCCUGCUGUCAAACCCACAUGCGGACAAAGCAACGUACUUGUCACCAAAAAGUAGGUCCAGCAAGGGAAAACUCUCACCUUACCUAGCGACUGGAUGAAAAACCUGCAGGGACUGGUCUCUAGUAGGACUCUCCAGUACAACACGGCAUAUUAAGCUACUCCUUAAUAAAUACACACCUUUUCAGCAGCUGUGAUAAAGCCUGUAACUUCCUGCAGCAGUCACUCACCUCUAUUUGGGCUUCAAAGGACUUGCUCUGAUACGAUAAAUAUUGAAAAUGUACCAUGCACAACUUAGUAUCACACAGGGUAGUAGAGCCAUUACCUUCAACAACAGCCUGACCGUACCUGACUACAGAGAGGUCACAGCUUGGGUUGUUACUCUGCUGUAGUAAAUUAAAAAGUUAUGUAUUAAUCAAGGUGAGCUAUGUCCAGCCUUACAGCAGUCACAGCAAAAGAUCCUAAUAAAAGCCCAGUCAGUCAAGGUUUGAUGCUUUAAAGUUACUUUACCUCCACUUUUUAUUCAUUUCUUCAAAUCUGGGAUAUGCCUUUAUGCUGAUGUGUUGCACAUUUAUAAUUCCAGCAUAUCCAUCAUCUCUGUACUUUUUAUUUGUCAGGUAAUUCCUUCCACCUGCAGCUCUCGAGUCAUUUCAGCUCUUGGGUAAGACCCCUACAACCUGCAGUGCUCCAGACAGACUAAAAGUCUCUGUUGUGCUUCCCCUGCUUUCUCAGUGACUUUGUUAGAGCCAAAACCCCAGCAAAUGCUAAUUAUGGUCUUAUGUACUUCUGCAGGAACACUAGCAAAAUGCAACCAUCUGACCAAGGUGAAGAUUAUUGUUUGCUGCAUGCACAGACACACUGAAGUUUAGGCAGAGUAGAUGAUGUGCCAUCCAACGAGUUGGAUGCAGACCACUGGGAAGCAACAGAGGCCUCGAGGGUCUGCCUGCUCACCUGCACAGCCCCCAGUCCCCAGAGCAGCGCUGGCCAUCGGUCCUCUCUGCGUACCUCAAGGAGGGUGGUUGUUACCAGUCUUUCAGGUAUCAUCGCAGAGUCGGCCCAUAGUGCAGUUCCAACUUUUUUGCUACAUACCUACCCAUCUACUCACCCACUCCUACCUCCUCUCUCUCACUUGCCAGUCUAAUUACCCUCCCACUCACAUUUUCUCUUACUCACUCACUAACCCACCCAUUUACAUGUUUUUCAUUCAUCUCCCCGUUCAGUUACACAACCUGAUCCUCAAACACCUUAAAUCCACUCACUAAUAGUAAUUUUACCUCCUAUGAUACACCCAUCCUCGCCUCUCUCAUCAACAUCCCUACCCUUCACCGAGCUUCCUGGUGGCUUGAAGGAAGAACGCUUACCACUCCGAGUUCCCAAGGUCCAUGGAGAUCCCUGAGGUCCAGCUCUCUGCGCCACACCAACGCCGACCCGCUCCUGGGAUCCCUUCCGAGCGAGCCGAACGCUUUCUGCCGACACGGAUGGCUGGGGGGGGAUCACACCUGUGCAGUGCUGGCGCUGGCCCUGCCUUUGCCAGCUUCCAGGCGGGCUGUGCCUCCGGCGGGCACGCAAUGCACACCCUUGCCCCCACCCUACAAAAAAAAAAAAAAAAAAAAAAACAACCUUUAUUUGGAGGCUUGCGACACAGCCCUCUCAUCCUUUGCGGCGUUCUGUAAGGAAAAACAGUAGUAAUGCUUCAGAAAGCAGAGGAGGUCUGGGGUAAAGGCGCUGGAUCGUGACCGUAGGCAGCUCUGAAGGGACUGGCUCUGGCCAGCGUGGCCAUGUGCUAGCUCAUACCGACCGGCCUGUCUCUCAUGGGGUGACAGCAAAAACAAUGCUUUGUUUGUCCUCUUCAGGGCCACAGAGUGUUUGGUUUUGGGGGGAUACUGAUCUAGCUCUUUGUGGUCAAGACAAGGGAAAACUUUGGAGACAGCCCUGCUUGGGUGCCCAAGGCUUCUGGUAGCAAAUAGCAAGCCCUGAAGAAGAAACAACAAACAGUUGUUUCCCACCUCCAAACGGCUGUUUCACCCCCCAAUAAGUGAAACUAUAGUAAGAAACAAUAGUUGAAGUGAAGAAACUUUGAGAAGAAGACAGUCUAAUGGAAAACGGGGAAAGACUCAAAUAACUACAGUACAACUUUCACUAUUUCUGUCACUAAUGGCAAACUGUAAUUUUUUCAUUUUCCCUGUAAUGCCCUCUACAGACUUGCUGCACACAUAAUUUCCUUGCAGUUUAAACGCCACAAGAGAGUUUAGGAGAGAAAAAAAAAAAAAAAAAAAAAAAAAAAAAUCACUGAACUUAUACUGGCAUAACUCGCCCAUAUUAAAACAUUUUAAUUUCUGAGCAAAAUUGGCCCUUCCAGGUAAUUUUCAACAAUUUCUCAAGUGACACCAUAACAGACCACACUUACACUAGAAUAAAAUAUGCAUCUGAGAAAUUAUACUGUAGCUGUUCAGUUUAAAACCUAUCUUUAAUCAAUGCAGUUUUCCCAAAUUCUGAAAAACUGAACAUACACCACUUAAGGUAAGUGGUAUAUCUAAUAUUCAAGAGCAGGUAACACUAUGCUGUUCAUAUUUACAGGCUGCUAACACCACAGGCAGAAUUACUGAAAGAUGAGAACGUAGACCUGACAUAAUAUGGUGAAACAAAGAAAUGGAAAAAUUUAGGCCAAAUAUCAGGCAAAGAAAAAUCUUGCCAUCAAACCUUGUGGAAAAGACUCCAGAAGAUAGAAGUGGAAGGCCAAGUUCUUAGAGUAUCUCUAGCCAUAAACCGCAGGGAAAAAAAAAAAAAUGUAGCAGAAAACAUGUACUGGCAAGAAGAUGGUCUGGAUGAUCUAAUGCACUUUCCAUCUCUAACAUCUAUGAUUCUGUAAUUCCGUAGAAGCGCUUAGCAGAGGGCUGGCAAACUUCUGUAGCAACUCAAUCGUCUGAUUAUUGUGUGAUUAAUCAAAGUGUUCAAUUAAAAGGAGGUCCUUGUAGCUGGAUGUUGUAGCUAUGCCACGCCACUCUCGUUCAAAGUUGCGCAUUGCACUGCCAGGAGAGAGCCUGAUCUGAAUGGCAGGCAUGCAGUAAUUACAGAGUUGUGAGUAGCUCUCCUAAAGAGGCAAAACAGAAUUUAAGUAAUUAAAGAGACAAUCAUUAUCUUUCUUGCAAAAUGCCCGGGGUCAACUUCUGACAGUGGAUUUGAUAAUACAGAGUUCAACUUUGUCAACAUUUAUGCAUGCAAAUAAAUUUACUUAUACACGCGA